AUACGGAGGAUCCGAGCGUUAUCCGGAUUUAUUGGGUUUAAAGGGUGCGCAGGCGGCCAUUUAAGUCAGCGGUUAAAUCGUGGGGCUCAACCCCAUUCUGCUGUUGAUACUGGGUGGCUUGAUUGCGGUCGAGGUUGGCGGAAUUCGUUGUGUAGCGGGGAAAUGCAUAGAUAUGACGAAGAACACCGAUUGCGUAGGCAGCUGACCAGACCGCAAAUGACGCUCAUGCACGAAAGUGCGGGGAUCGAACAGGAUUAGAUACCCUGGUAGUCCGCACAGUAAACGAUGAAUACUUGUUUUCGGCGAUAUAAUGUCGGAGGCAAAGCGAAAGCGAUAAGUAUUCCACCUGGGGAGUACGCCGGCAACGGUGAAACUCAAAGGAAUUGACGGGG
rnacentral:rRNA from 1 species